AUUGAACGCUGGCGGCAGGCCUAACACAUGCAAGUCGAGCGGACGAAGGGAAAUUGUGCCUGUAUUCAGUUGCGGACGGGCGAGUAAUUCCCAGGAAGAUGCCCUACCGAUAGGAAUAACGUCCGUACACGGGCGCUAAUAUCGUAUAGGAUCAGAUGUUGAAAGUGGGGGUUCUUCGGACCUCGCGGGUCUAGAUGUGACUAAGACAUAGAACCGCGCUGCAUUAGCUAGUUGGUAAGGUAACGGCCUACCAAGGCAACGAUGCGUAGCCGACCUGAGAGGAUGAUCAGUCACACUGGAACUGAGACACGGUCCAGACUCCUACGGGAGGCAGCAGUAGGGAAUAUUCCGCAAUGGGCGAAAGCCUGACCCAGCCACGCCGCGUGUGUGAUGAAGGUCUUCGGAUCGUAAAGCUCUUUUAGUUGGGAGGAAGGUCUGUGAGAGUAACCGUGCCCAUUUUGACGUUACCUACAGAAUAAGCCCCGGCUAACUACGUG
rnacentral:rRNA from 1 species